rnacentral:rRNA from 1 species
GACGAACGCUGGCGGCGUGCCUAAUACAUGCAAGUAGAACGCAGUUGCGAACGGGUGAGUAACGCGUAGGUAACUGCCUGGUAGCGGGGGAUAACUAUUGGAAACGAUAGCUAAUACCGCAUACUACCAGAUGUACCUGCGUUGUAUUAGCUAGUUGGUGAGGGCACGGCUCACCAAGGCAACGAUACAUAGCCGACCUGGGAGGGGUGUGGGGCACACUGGGACUGAGACACGGCCCAGACGCCUACGGGAGGCAGCAGGAGGGAAUCUUCGGCAAUGGGGGGAACGCUUGCCGGGCAACGCCGCGUGAGUGAAGAAGGUUUUCGGAUCGUAAAGCUCUGUUGUUAAGGAAACGGUACUUAACCAGAAAGGGACGGCUAACUACGUGCCAGCAGCCGCGGUAAUAC